rnacentral:rRNA from 1 species
UACGAAGGGGGCGAGCGUUGUUCGGAUUUACUGGGCGUAAAGGGCGCGCAGGCGGCAGACCAAGUCAGGCGUGAAAGCCCCGGGCUUAACCUGGGAGGUGCGUCUGGGACUGGUAUGCUAGAGUUCGGGAGAGGAGAGUGGAAUUCCCAGUGUAGAGGUGAAAUUCGUAGAUAUUGGGAAGAACACCGGUGGCGAAGGCGGCUCUCUGGGACGGUACUGGACGCUGAGACGCGAAAGCGUGGGGAGCGAACAG